AUUUGAUUUGGCUCUCCCCAGAUUGUAACAAUUGUGGAAGAGGCAUGAAGAAAGAGAACUUCAUGCUUGCAAAACAAAGUGAGGGACAUCAUCUGUCAAUCAAGGUGAAGAUUCCAAAUGGAAUGUUCCCAGGAAAGGCAGUUGGAGCCUGGCCAGAGGAAAUGAACUGCGAGACUUCUUCUCUGGGGUUCUGGAUUUGGCUCUCCCCAGAUUGUAACAAUGAAGGUACUUAGCUCUUCCUUUAUUGUGAAGAUUAAAUUGUAAUCCCAUGACUACUUUUAUAUUUUAAUCCCUAAAGUGUAAACCCAGUACUUAAAGCAGAUCUACCCAUUUUAACCACAAAAAAGUAUGAACUAACCACAAAAGGUGUAAACUAACCACAAAAAGGUAUUAAAUACUCAUUUCAUACAUUGAGUGGGAAGUCUGUGACCCAUGUGUGAAAGAGUGGACAGUCCUGGAGAGGAGCAUCUGCUGUGAUUGGUAGACAUAAAAUUUAGGGGAGGUAACACAAGAGAAAAAGGUCUUUAAAUAGUGGAAACAGAGACACAAAGAAAUACUGGGGCACUUGGAGUUGGAUUGGAAGAUGAUCAGUCACUCGAACUGGACUGGAAGAUAGACUUUCUGGAUGGAGUAAAGAGAAAGAGUAAAGAGAGACUCUUGGACUUGGAGUGAAAGAGGCAGUCACUUGGGCUUGGAGUGAAGAGAGUCACUCAGAGUUGGAGUGGAGAGAGACACUUGAGGGGAGACUGGAAGACAGACACUCAGACUUGGAGUGAAGACACUUGGCUGUGGAACUGGACCCCUGGAGGAGCACACGCAGGAGACCUCAGACUGCUUUCCUGUUAGAUGGUUAUUUUGCGGAGAUGUGGCUGGUGGCAGCAUGCUGGGCAUCUUGGCAUUUUGGCGUUCUUGCAGCUCUUGUCCAGGAUUGGUGUGAGCAUGCUAGGGAUAGGUUUUGGCCUGAUGAGAACCCCCUGCCAGGAAAGCCCUCCUAUUGUCAUCAAAGGAAUGAGUAAAAACAAUCAUCAUAGAACCCGAAGAGGUGAGCUCCCCAGGUUUGGACCACUUCAAACCCUAGAGCUGGGCAUAGGACAAAAGAUGUCUGCAGGCCGGACUCUGCCAGAUAGAGAGUGGAGCUCUACACCAUGCACAUAUUUCUAAUGAAUCACGUCUCAGGCCCAGAGAAUAUUUUGGCUGGAACUUUAUCACCCAGAUGAAGAGGUCAUUUACUCUGCGAGUUGGUUCAUCUUGGAAUUGUCUUGAGAUUUUGAUGUGAUUCACCCGACCUGCUCAUUUAUUUAUUUAUUUGUUUUUAAAGACAAACACCAGGAUUCUGUUGAUUACUGGAGUGUUCUUUUCCAAAAGCAGCUGUUGAAAGGACCCUUCCUCCCUGGCUCCCCUCGUCAACGCCUCCCAAACCCCCAACACCAAUGAAAUCAUAUGUAAAUAAUGCUGAUUCCAAUUAUUUCAAAUGCUAUAACAGGCCUUUCCAUCUUUAUUUUGUGGGAAUCAAUAAAGAGAAUAAAAGCAGGACA
rnacentral:lncRNA from 1 species